UUACAGUUUUAAAGAUGAUUGGCAAUAUAGAUUGUGUGACAAAAUGCGUACCCAGACCUGUGGGACUGUGAAAUAUACAGCAAGUUAGAAACAUACAAGACCCAAGUCUUCGAAUGGCCAUGAAAAAAAACCCUACAUGAUGCUAGUGAUUUUCAUAUGUAGAUUUUCACUUGGCUGAUACAAAUUCUAAUACAUGUCCCCCUUUUCCAUGAUCCUUUUCACGGAUUAAUGCUAAUGUCCAAAGAGGGCUUUAUUUGCCUCUACACUUCUUUGAACCAUAUUUCAAUUUGGAUACUAGAGAUAACAAUUCUUGAAGACACUAAGGGUGAAUUUGUUGUGAGGUAUAGCCUUAUUGGACAAUAUGGAAUAACAUGGUACAAGGCAGCAUAGGACAAGACAAAUAAUUGUCCACUCUUGUGUUUGUAUAUGUUAUGGAGAAGACAAAUUAAUUAUAUAAAAUAAUUAUUGAUAUUUUAAAAUAUAUAU
rnacentral:misc_RNA from 1 species